UUUGAUAGAGUUCAUGACUUAAUUUUAUAAUUCAGUGAAAUUUCCAAAUUAUAAAAUAGAUUUUUGUCAUGGAGAAAUUGUGAAAUCAUGUGAUAAGCAAUUGUCAAAAGUAAGUGUUUUGUGAAAUUGUAGUGAAUAGUAUUUUUGAAUGGUGAAUAGUGUGCUUGGCACUAGAGGCUGAUCAGACCGAGCAGGGCCUUCCAAGCAGAUCGGAAGUGUCCGAGCGGUUUGAUCGGGCAGACCGACGACUCUAGGAGGGAGUCGGUUUGAGGUGUUUGGGUGGAUUUUCUAGAUUGCUUCAUAUUGAUGACUUCUAGAUGGUUUCUAUACGUAUGUGAUAUUAUUGUGUGCUGAUGUGAGUCAAGUCGUUGGUACAAACUUUUACUCGGAUAUGGAGUUUCUUUGUUAUUCAUGUGCGGGUGUUGCUUGAAACCAAUGGAGUAUUGUGGUGAUGGAUCUGGACAAGGCUUGGGAGAAGUUGAGAUCCAGACGGUUAAGGAGAUCAUGCGUGAUACUAAGGCUAGAGAACGAUGCAUAUGAAGGUGAAGGUUUCUAUAUGACAUUACGUGGUGUUGUGUGCAUGUGGAAAAAGGAGUCAAAUUUGGAUUGGAGUUCAAGUUUAGGAAUAUUGGAGUGUGAAGUUGUAAAGGGAUGUUGUUUCCCUAGUUUGAGGGGUUUCUUAUGUGAUUAGGAGUCCUAAUUAUAUUUGGAUUCGUGGAUAGGUGUAGCCAUGUUUUGGGUAUAAAUAGAAGAGUGGUUGAGGCUAGAAGUAUAUCAACUUUUAGGAGAGAAAUAUUAGGGUUUGCUUCUAGGCUUCGAUUAUAGUUCAUGACUUAAGAGAGGAGUGCUUUGGAUGCACAUUAUAAAUAUCUUGAUGCAAUAAAUUUGAUCUAUAUUCAAGAUCAUAUUUAGUUUGAUUUUCUCUAGAUCCCAACGGUCUAACCGAUGGCAAAGGAGCAGUCAAGCCGGCAGUGGCGGCGAUGGUGGCAGCAAGUAGACGAGGAGAGCGACUGGAGGUCUGACUAAUCGAACAUGAAGCGAGGUUGACUAGUUCGGUGCUUUGAGUGUGGAGUUCAACCACAUCAAGUACAAUUGUCGUAAACACAAGAAGACGAUCAAGGAGGAGGAAGUUGACAAGAAGCAUAAACAAGAAAGAAAAAAUAGUCGCAAUUAGCCUGAGGAAGAAGGAUGCAUAGCUAUUGUGCAUUUUUAACAUUCCUUAAUACUCUCUCUAUUUCAUAUUAUAAGUCGUUUGACUUUUUUCUUUUGGUGUGGUAGUUCUUCUUCUGCUGCUAGAAGUACAUGUAUGAUAGUCUUUUACCACUGUCACCUGCAAAUCAAAUGGAAGAAACCUUCAAUAUACAAUCAUUAUGAGACAA